rnacentral:lncRNA from 1 species
AUUAUCAUGGCUGUAAACACAGGUUCUGCACGUGUCUAAGUUCAGCCCCAAACCCACAUGAAGAACUUAUUUCCAGACAGCUCCUACUCUUAUGGUGGCUCCAGACCCUGCCCCAUGCAGAAGGCACUUCUCAAGUUCCAGGACCAGGGCUUCAGCCACAGCACUCGGGUGUAGAGGCAAGCACUGAAGGCCCAUGAUCAGCCGUGGGAGCCACGGGAAUCAAUUGCUUCCAGUACGACUGGAUGCAUCGGAAAGAGCCUGGGGCAAGGCUGGAGGCCACAAGAGGAGCUGCCAGGCCACAUAAGCAGGGAACAAAGCCGAUGAUCACACGCCCAUCAGUGAGCCAACUUGGUGAAGGGAAAUGCCCAAGUUCUCAGCACCUGCAGAGCCUAAGACAUAACAAGCAGCAUGCCCUGACGCUCACCAAGGCCAGGUGCUGUGGUGAGUGCUCUACCUGUUUCUGUACA